rnacentral:lncRNA from 1 species
CCAGGCCGAUUGUACACUGUGAAUGAAGGUUUAAUCUAUGUCAUCCUUUGUCACAGGUCAUCCUGUUGCCUGGGAUGAAGUGUCACAUAGUUUGAAUCCACAUUGCUUGCUGACUUCAUGGGGUGAAUGAACUUUUCCAAGAUUCUGGAAGCCUAUUGUAAUUUGUGUUCUCUACAUUUUCCUGAGGUCCCAGGGAUGCCGUGACUACUAAGCUCUAUGGUAGGAGUUGGGGCAGGAGGAAACAACUUUAGAAGACACCUGUGUGUCCCUCCCUGCUUGCAUCUAGCUUCUUCGUCUGCCCAGGUGGACUGCUCUUACCGUUGCAGGAGACUUGAAAACCAGUGGUGGCGAGACUCCAAGACUAUUAUUUUUAUUUCCGGACAAAAACAUCUGCUUCACACAGUGCACGGCA